rnacentral:rRNA from 1 species
GAUGAACGCUGGCGGCGUGCCUAAUACAUGCAAGUCGAGCGAACGGACGAGAAGCUUGCUUCUCUGAUGUUAGCGGCGGACGGGUGAGUAACACGUGGAUAACCUACCUAUAAGACUGGGAUAACUUCGGGAAACCGGAGCUAAUACCGCAUAAUAUUGUGAACCGCAUGGUUCAAAAGUGAAAGACGGUAUUGCUGUCACUUAUAGAUGGAUCCGCGCUGCAUUAGCUAUUUGGUAAGGUAACGCCUUACCAAGGCAACGUUGCAUACCCGCCCUGAGAGGGGGAUCGGCCACACUGGAACUGAGACACGGUCCAGACUCCUACGGGAGGCAGCAGUAGGGAAUCUUCCGAAAGGGGCGAAAGCCGGACGGGGCAACGCCGCGUGAGUGAUGAAGGUCUUCGGAUCGUAAAACUCUGUUAUUAGGGAAGAACAUAGGUGUAAGUAACUGUGCACAUCGUGACGGUACCUAAUCAGAAAGCCACGGCUAACUACGUG